rnacentral:lncRNA from 1 species
GCAAUGCCCGCGAGGUCGAGGAGUGUGCCCGUAUCCUGCUGCUGGCUUCCCCUGAUCGCCAUGCGUGCGUGCUGAAGCGUCUGAUGCUUGCUGGCUUCCCUCCUCCGUAAGACAACUCGACACCUGAAGAAGUAUAAAUCACUCAACCUUCAUCGACGGGGUUCGUCUGAUCUGCGCUCAGGUAAGAGAUUUUCCCUCGUGGCAUGCUUGUGCUAGCUUUUGGUUUUAUGAUCGUUCGCUUUGCGGCAGCUUAAUUUUGAAGCGAAGUUUUUGCUUGCCAUCUGACGCAUACGUACCUAUAUAUUUGUGUGUCUGUCUUUGCGCAUCAAUCAAUACACUUCUGCCCAUCGAUCGAACUGUUUUCUGCUAAUUUCCCCUCUUAAUUUCAUUCUAUGUUUUUUUUUCACAUCACGGGCUUAAGAUUCUACCUGCAGUUUUAUCAUAGUAAUAAAAUUUAAACACUUUGAACAGAAAGAUGGAUCGGUUAACACACUAGCAUCGCAUGCGAUCCAUUUUUCUUGUUUAACUCUUGGAUGGAAUGUCGAGUUAAUGGAACUAAAUUCGUGAGAGAUGAAUUUGUCACAUGAACAAUACACAUGCAUGCACGAUUAGCUAGCAAAAAGAUAAGUAGGGCCCCUUAUUUGCACUUUGCCACCUAUAGCAAGUCUCGUAUCCUCAUCUUCUGAUCUACCAAACUUUACAAUUAAGAUUACGUGCCUGCAUGGUCGCCUCCGCACCAUCCUAAUGCAUGUAUCUUGAACUGGUUAGUAGCCAUUGUUAAUUACAUAUGACUCGUGGAACAUGAUGCACUGAUCAUUUCUGAUGCUACUCCUAAGUCCUAACUCGUAAUCGUCUUGAUUCAAUCUGUCCAUGCAGGCACGAAAGCUAAGAGCAAGCAAUGGACAACCACCAGCUGCCUUACAGCGCCCAGACCCCGGCAACGACCGGCGGCGGAGCCCCGGUGCCUGCCGGGGCCACGGGGCCGCCGCCGGCCGUGCCGCAGCACCACCUGCUCCAGCAGCAGCAGGCCCAGCUGCAGGCGUUCUGGGCGUACCAGCGUCAGGAGGCGGAGCGCGCGUCGGCGUCCGACUUCAAGAACCACCAGCUGCCGCUGGCCCGGAUCAAGAAGAUCAUGAAGGCGGACGAGGACGUGCGCAUGAUCUCGGCCGAGGCGCCC